GCCACAUGAUGUGAUGUAGAUUGCAUUAGCACACUGUGCAGAGAUGACCAGUUAUCUAUCACCCAUGACUGAUGGCU
ensembl:snoRNA SNORD83 Small nucleolar RNA SNORD83